UGGGGAAUUUUGCACAAUGGGGGAAACCCUGAUGCAGCGACGCCGCGUGUACGAUGAAGAUCUUCGGAUUGUAAAGUAAUGUCCUUGGUGAAGAUAAUGACUGUAACCAAGAAGCAAGCCCUGGCUAAAUACGUGCCAGCAGCCGCGGUAAUACGUAUGGGGCAAGCGUUGUCCGGAAUUAUUGGGCGUAAAGGGUACGUAGGCGGUUAUUUAAGUCUAAAUUAAAAGGCAUUGGCUCAACCAAUGUAAGGUUUAGAUACUGGGUAACUUGAGUAGAUGAGGGGAAAGUGGAAUUCCAUGUGUAGCGGUGAAAUGCGUAGAUAUAUGGAGGAACACCAAUGGCGAAGGCAACUUUCUGGAAUCAAACUGACGCUGAGGUACGAAGGCGUGGGGAGCAAACAGG
rnacentral:rRNA from 1 species